rnacentral:rRNA from 1 species
UGAGGAAUAUUGGUCAAUGGCCGAGAGGCUGAACCAGCCAAGUCGCGUGAGGGAUGAAGGUUCUAUGGAUCGUAAACCUCUUUUAUAAGGGAAUAAAGUGACCCACGUGUGGGUUUUUGUAUGUACCUUAUGAAUAAGGAUCGGCUAACUCCGUGCCAGCAGCCGCGGUAAUACGGAGGAUCCGAGCGUUACUUCCGGAUUUAGUUAGGGUUUAAAGGGUGCGCUAAGGCGCCCUUAAGUCAGCGGUGAAAAGUCUGUGGCUCAACCAUAGAAUUGCCGUUGAAACUGGGGGGCUUGAGUAUGUUUGAGGCAGGCGGAAUGCGUGGUGUAGCGGUGAAAAUGCUUAGAUAUCACGCAGAACCCCGAUUGCGAAGGCAGCCUGCCAAGCCAUGACUGACGCUGAUGCACGAAAAGCGUGGGGAUCAAACAGGAUUAGAUACC